ACAUUAAGAUAUGUGUUUUUUUUAAUGUAUGAAUGUGUUUAAAAAUACACUGGUGGAUAAAAUGUAUAAAAAUAUUAGUCAUGAGCUUUAAAAAGAUUUAAAACUCGAAUAUUGUAGAUCAUGUAAAAGUGCGUAGUUUGUUGUUCAUGCGCUUGAGCCAGCAGGCGUACUCAGCCUGUCAAUCUAACUUGAUUAUCUGUGUACGUCAACAUUAGGUUUUCCGUACUUUGAUUGGAAUUCUAGCUAACAGCCAAUCAAAUCCCACUAUCAGGUAGAGGGGUGGGGCUUAGUCGCUAGCUUCGAGGUCACGGGCACUAGAGCAAAGCAGAAGUCAAUUAUCACCAUAGAUUUAACCGUGAAUACUGUAGAGAGCAAUAACGAGAUGGACUUUUUGACUGUCAGAGAGAGAGAGAGGAUCGGGGAAGAUCUCGCCCCCCACCUGCUGCUGUGCUGCUGUAGACUGUAGCUGCUGGUUCCUCUGCCGUCCAUCACCCCAGCUUCCCCUCGUCUACCUCUCUGAUUAAUCCCUGGAUUCAGCAGUUGGAGCUCUAAGUUGCAGAAGAAAAACAGCCCGAUUUGCAGACACCUUCCUCGAGUGCAGCGCUCCUGGGUCUGCAUCCGAAUACACAAAAACACAAGAGGCACAGACUGAAACAAAACAUCACCGAGAGCUCAGCACGAAGUGUCCGCAAAACAAGCGAAGGCGGCCGCUCAUAUACGCGGGGAGAAAGGAGGAGGAUCGAUUCAUCAUGUCUCUCGCAAUUUGCUGCUGUAAUAUUCUGCUCUAUUACUCAUCUGAUGUGAGAGUCCCUUCUCUCUCUCACUCUCUGUUUUAUCUCUCUGCCGCCUGCCUGGCUGCCUGCGGGGCUUUUCACCGGAUCGCUCGGAAAUGCCACUGACUGGCUCUGCUGCCUCGCAGUGGAGGCUAGCUGCCCCAAACUCCCAUCAGCCGGCCGCAGCUUCGUCCCCCGCGCCGGCCGAGAAUCGACCUCAGCCCGCAAGAAAUCCCCCCCGCCGCCCCCUCAGGCUUCGGGGACCGUCCCCCGUGCACCCGCGGAUUCUAAUAUCUGAAUAGUGAUACCACUGUCGGCAGCAACACCUAAAGGUGCAUUUAAAGAAGAGACGUGAAAAAGAAGGGGAAGAAGAAAGCGGAAAUUUCUAUAGUAGAGUCUAGAAGUAAUAAUAAAAAAGCAGCAACCCAAAUAAAAUGUUUUGGACUGCAGAAACACUAAGAUUUAAUUACCCAUCAUGCACUACAAUAAUGACAAUCCUAUGAGGUAAAUUCACGAGGCGAAUAUUACAUAUUAUAAUCACAUUUUUCUUUAGACAUCAGCAAAAUCCUGAGGGGAUGUGGUAAUUUAUUAAGUUUCCAAAACAAAUAAAUCUUCAGUUUUCCUUUUAAUAAGUUGAUGUAAAGAAUAGAAACUGUGACACAUGCUAAACAAAUGAACGCUUUCCAAUUAGAAAUGUGAUAUUUCUGUCUUAGAUGUCAGAAUUAGUUUACACAUUUUUUUCUUUGCUGUGUGCAAAGGUUAUGCAUGUAGAAAUGGUUCCCAAAGUGAGGUCCAGGGAACCUCCAGGUGUCCUUGAAAAAUUUCCAGGGGGUGCCUUGCAAACUGAGCACAGGUGAAUUUCACUUAAAUUACAUUUAAGCACAACAGGUGGAUGUGGAAGGAUGGAUGUUAGAGAUUUCAGUCAUCCACGGGAAAACAUAAUUCUCAGAUUAUCUGCGUUCAUUCAGAGGAGAAUUAAUGAAAUGCAAAUUUUUGGGAACCCUUCUGUUAUCGCACCAGGUUCUCAUAGCUCCUCACAGGCGCUUUAAAGCUUUAAAGAAUGUGAGAAAUGUCACAAUUUGGCAUUAUCAUAAAACCCUUUUAACGACCAGCUUCUUCCUCCUUUUGCACCUUUUUUCAAUCAUAAUUGCUCACCCAAAAAAAGGUUGCAAAGCAGGAGAUCGCACUUAACAAGGCAUCUGUACAAAUGAACUAAAAAGCACAAAGCAGAAAUCAUAGAUACACUUAUAUCGCAAUUAACUUAAGCCAGUUGGCUCCCCACAUAUAGGAUUGCAGUCAGUUUUAAUUGAAGACUAAUUCUGAAACAUUUAAACAUCAUAACUUGACUGAGAACUGUCUCUGUCUCAGGCUACUCUCCCUUUGGGGAAAUACACCUGCGGUGGGAUUGUACCUGCUCAGUUAAAUUUAUGCAUCUACAUUUGUAUAAAUUUCCUGUGAAAUGUGCGAGAUGAUCUGUUAUUGCUCACCUGCUCCUUCCCCCUCUGCUCUCGCGGGCUGCCUCAUCACUCUCAGUUUGAGAGCGAGAGUGAUUUGCUACAGCGAUCUGGGAAAUUAACAAAUGUUUUCACUGCUUGUUUUCUCACUCCACUGGCACAGGUUGAGGAGGUAUGAGGUCUCUAAACCACACUGACAAUAUUACCAGCAUGAUGACUAGGGUUCAUAUGGUGAAAUUCCCUGAAUAAAUUACUGUGCCCACUCUUUCUCUUAUCUGGUUAUGAGUACAGUUAUGACCUCAGUUUCUGGUAUUUGGGAUGGGUAUUUCUUCAAUGUAAACUUCCCAGAAAUCUGUUCUAUUAACAGUUUUUCUGUAAGCCUUGUGACAAAAUUAACUUAACCCUUAACAUGGCCAGGGGUUAAGGUUAUCGCUUCAUUGUGGUCACACGACAUGAGAAGCUGUAAUUUAGGAUUUCACCUUGACUGACGUGUUAGAGGAACAGACAUUAUGAAACAGUGACAGGUUCUUCAUAUCUUACAGAGAGCUUUUGAUGAGCUGUGUCUGUUGAUUAAAUUCACUCUAGCCGUUUGAUAAAACUGACAUGAUGCGGCAUGGGGCUAGUUGUUUCUAUUUACUGAAUGAAGGAGGCAGAUAAAAUCUGAUUCACCUGAAUACUGCUCCUCGAAUUUUACAUUUACUGUUAAAAGUCAAAGUCAAAAGUCAUCACAGACUCGUAAUUGUGGCAGAUAAGCAGGAAAUCCGACGCACUGGGAUGUUUUUGCUGUGUCAUCUUGAAGCAAACCUGCACCUACAGUACGAACUUUCCCCAGGGUUAACUCACUAAAUUAACAGCAAAUGACUGGAAAAUAUGAGAUAAACUGUAAAUAAAUCAAGCCUUUAAUGCAAGAACAUUUCAGAGAGACUCAAUAAUGAACUGCUGCAUUUCUUAGAGGACACACACACACACACACACGC